GGAGAUGACAUGUGCUGCCAGGAAUUAAAGAAGAAUUCCUAAAUGACAUUGCUGGAAAAGCAUCUGUGAUUCUUUUUACYUUCUUCCUUGUGAUUACCUCUAUUUAGGUAGACAAAGAGCAAGCUGAAAAAAMCACAGGGCUGAUCUGACUCCUCUGGCUUCAACACAGAAUUCCUUUAUUUAUUCUGUGUGCUUGAGACUGUCUAGRAAAUAGAUCCCGGGAGCUGCGCAGGAGGGAUCCCCCGGAGCAGUGGCAGCGUUUGCUGUGCCCCGCGCAGCCGUGCUGUUGGAAGCGGGCUGUCCUGCAAGCAUGCCGUGGGGGCUGCAGCAGCAUGCUGCAAGCUGAGCGAGCUGGCGGGAGCCACCAUGGCAGGGUCCUGCACUGAUGAGCUAUUGCCACCGCUGCCUGUGCCCUGAAAGAKCUGCUGAAACACUAGCGACAGCCACAGCUCUGUCUGCGGGCUGCAGACCUGAUUUUUCUCUCACCAUUGCAUGUCUGGAUCGACGUCACGGGAAUCGGUGCGUUCYGCUCUGUGAAGAGACUCUGCUGGGCUCGAGCAAGAGACGCAGCAGAAUCAGGCCUUACACUCCGAUUUCCUGUCCUUUUCCUAUACAAAGGAGCGAGGGAGGGAGAAUUCUCCACUGCAUAAUUUUGGGCCAGAAGGACGCCGGGUGUUGUCACCAGCUGAGGGACUGUGCAGGCACCACUGCCUCAGCACUCUGCAGAACCCAUGGGAAUAGAAAAUAGAGCAAGAAACAGAUGAAAAGAAGAGAAGGCAGUGUGAAAACAGGACAAGGCAGAUCCUGCACAAAAUGCGUGGGAGCCUACAGAGCUGACCCUGCUCAUGGAGGCUGCUGGUGGCAGUGCAAGGGGAAGGAGGCAGAGGUGUGACCUGCAAGGAGAGAAGACCUGGUACAGCGUGAGCAAUUUGAAAUGUUUCUGUUAUUUUCUUGUCUUCAGGAAAUUGGAGAGACUGAGAGAGAGGUGAAGAGUUAGUUGAAGCCCCAAGCAGCUUGUUGUGCUGGAGAGGGUGAAAGAGAGAGAAGACAGAGCUGAGCCUGGGCUGAGUAAUGACAAAUUACUUUUUUCUUUGUGACUUGAAAUUUAUCUYUGCUUCCGUGGUCAGUAGAGAGGCUAUCUUUUUUCUGUGCACAUGAAAAGGAAUCGRGACGAUAAUAUAUUCCAGAACAGUUUGCCUUUUUUUAAGAUUUAUUGUUAGCAAGAUGGAAUGUUGCUAAUUGGCAUUUGGCUAUGCAGCAUCAUGUGUGUUCAUGCUGAAGAGGGCUGGCGUCACCCCCUCUUCCCUAGGACUCUGCAGUAACGACCCAGCUGUAAUCAGACGUACUCAGUGCUAUUUCUGAAGAACUAUUGGAAACAUUGCCAAAGACAGAAAAAAGUAAUAGUAUAGUUAAAUAAAGCUGAAAUAAGUCAGAGAGCA
ensembl:lncRNA